rnacentral:pre_miRNA from 1 species
UUCUUUGGCGAUCUAGCUCGGUGACGUGUGCUAGCUCAUAAAGCUAGAUUACCAAAGCA